CAAUAACCAGAGGAGUAAGAGAAGCCCCGGGACCGGUGAAAGGCGUCUUCUCGGCUAUAGGUGAAUCCAAUAAGUGGGAAUAAGCCUCAAGAGUAGGGACCAACUGGAAAUCCGGGAAAGUGAAGCAGCGGAAGCUCGGGUCAUAGAAUUGCACUAGAGUGUGCACGAGCUUCUCUUCAACAUUAGUCCGGAGAAUAGUAAGCAAACCACCAUACCGGAGUCGGAAACCUGUUUGAUUCUUC
rnacentral:lncRNA from 1 species